UUAACGUUUCUGAUGUAUUUUAGUAUCUUAUUAUUUUAACCAGCUAAGCAACGCUAAUGCAAAGAGGAACUAACACGCCAUUACAUCAAAGUUAUCAACGGCAAGUGUUAAAUAUGCAGUGUUUUACACCACAGUUUGUCAGUGGGAAAAUAAAACCCAUUUUGUUUUGUGAUUUCGGACACCGACAAACAAGUCCGGUGAUUUGUCUUUUAAACCAGGAAGACGGCUGACAUAUCUAACCGACACUCGCACCACAGAAACUAAAGCAACAGAGCAAAGGCAGUGUGGAGUGCUGGGAUGUCAAAGUCAGCAAGAUGGCUGCAAUACCACGGGCCUAAAGUUAAAAAAAGGAGCCUGACCAGGUGCAGAAGGCAGCAGUCCCUAUCAUUGCUGUUGAGGAGGAAGAGAAUGUCAUGAGGGAACCCACUGGAUGUUUUGAUUGUCUUUGAAGACGAAGUGGUGAUGUCAACCAAGUCUAGGAUGCUGUUCUUGCGGAGUUUCCACACACAAGUACAUCUGAUGUGUGAGCGGCCAUCAGGCGCAAAUGUAACACCGCAAUUCUUUAUAGAAUUGCAAUAUUUUUUGGACAUGUAUAAUUUUAAAUUGUUUUGUGGUGUUUUUGUUUUGUUUUAUUGCAUUUAUUUUACAUGUUCGAAAUAAAGUCUCAAAAAAAAUCUAAUUCAGCAAAAAAGUGAAGU